UACGGGAGGCAGCAGUGGGGAAUAUUGCACAAUGGGCGCAAGCCUGAUGCAGCCAUGCCGCGUGUAUGAAGAAGGCCUUCGGGUUGUAAAGUACUUUCAGUCGUGAGGAAGGUGUUAAGGUUAAUAACCUUAGCAAUUGACGUUAGCGACAGAAGAAGCACCGGCUAACUCCGUGCCAGCAGCCGCGGUAAUGCGGAGGGUGCGAGCGUUAAUCGGAAUUACUGGGCGUAAAGGGCACGCAGGCGGUUAAUUAAGUUGGAUGUGAAAUCCCCGGGCUUAACCUGGGAAUGGCAUUCAAGACUGGUUAGCUAGAGUCUUGUAGAGGGGGUAGAAUUCCAUGUGUAGCGGUGAAAUGCGUAGAGAUGUGGAGGAAUACCGGUGGCGAAGGCGGCCCCUGGGACAAAGGCUGACGCUCAUGUGCGAAAGCGUGGGGAGCAAACAGGAUUUAGAUACC
rnacentral:rRNA from 1 species